GACGAACGCUGGCGGCGUGCUUAACACAUGCAAGUCGAACGGAAAGGCCCUGCUUUUGUGGGGUGCUCGAGUGGCGAACGGGUGAGUAACACGUGAGUAACCUGCCCUUGACUUUGGGAUAACUUCAGGAAACUGGGGCUAAUACCGGAUAGGAGCUCCUGCUGCAUGGUGGGGGUUGGAAAGUUUCGGCGGUUGGGGAUGGACUCGCGGCUUAUCAGCUUGUUGGUGGGGUAGUGGCUUACCAAGGCUUUGACGGGUAGCCGGCCUGAGAGGGUGACCGGCCACAUUGGGAAUGGGAUACGGCCCAGACUCCAACGGGAGGCAGCAGUGGAGAAUAUUGCGCAAUGGGCGGAAGCCUGAUGCAGCAACGCCGCGUGCGGGAUGACGGCCUUCGGGUUGUAAACCGCUUUCGCCUGUGACGAAGCGUGAGUGACGGUAAUGGGUAAAGAAGCACCGGCUAACUACGUG
rnacentral:rRNA from 1 species